rnacentral:rRNA from 1 species
AGUCGCCGCGGUAAUACGAAGGGUGCAAGCGUUAAUCGGAAUUACUGGGCGUAAAGCGCGCGUAGGUGGUUUGGUAAGAUGGAUGUGAAAUCCCCGGGCUCAACCUGGGAACUGCAUCCAUAACUGCCUGACUAGAGUACGGUAGAGGGUGGUGGAAUUUCCUGUGUAGCGGUGAAAUGCGUAGAUAUAGGAAGGAACACCAGUGGCGAAGGCGACCACCUGGACUGAUACUGACACUGAGGUGCGAAAGCGUGGGGAGCAAACAGGAUUAGAUACCCCAGUAGUCCCUGUCUCUUAUACA